UAUUGCGCAAUGGGGGAAACCCUGACGCAGCAACGCCGCGUGAGUGAAGAAGUAUCUCGGUAUGUAAAGCUCUAUCAGCGGGGAAGAAGGAAGACGGUACCCAACUAAGAUGCUACUGCCAACUACGUGCCAGCAGCCGCGGUAAUACGUAGGGGGCAAGCGUUAUCCGGAUUUACUGGGUGUAAAGGGAGCGUAGACGGCAGCACAAGUCUGGAGUGAAAUGCCGGGGCUUAACCCCGGAACUGCUUUGGAAACUGUGCAGCUAGAGUGCAGGAGAGGUAAGUGGAAUUCCUAGUGUAGCGGUGAAAUGCGUAGAUAUUAGGAGGAACACCAGUGGCGAAGGCGGCUUACUGGACUGUAACUGACGUUGAGGCUCGAAAGCGUGGGGAGCAAACAG
rnacentral:rRNA from 1 species